CUACGGGUUGCUGCAGUGGGGAAUAUUGGACAAUGGACCAAAAGUCUGAUCCAGCAAUUCUGUGUGCACGAUGAAGGUCUUCGGAUUGUAAAGUGCUUUCAGUAGGGAAGAAGAAUGUGACGGUACCUACAGAAGAAGCGACGGCUAAAUACGUGCCAGCAGCCGCGGUAAUACGUAUGUCGCAAGCGUUAUCCGGAAUUAUUGGGCAUAAAGGGCGUCUAGGGGGUUUACUAAGUCUGAUGUGAAAAUGCGGGGCUCAACUCCGUAUUGCGUUGGAAACUGGUUGACUAGAGUCUUGAGAGGUGGGCGGAACUACAAGUGUAGAGGUGAAAUUCGUAGAUAUUUGUAGGAAUGCCGAUGACGAAGGUAGCUCACUGGACAAGUACUGACACUAAAGCGCGAAAGCUAGGGGAGCAAACAGGAUUAGAUACCCCAGUAGUC
rnacentral:rRNA from 1 species